rnacentral:rRNA from 1 species
UACGGGGGGGGCAAGCGUUGUUCGGAAUUACUGGGCGUAAAGGGCUCGUAGGCGGCCCACUAAGUCCGACGUGAAAUCCCCAGGCUUAACUUGGGAACUGCGUCGGAUACUGGUGGGCUUGAAUCCGGGAGAGGGAUGCGGAAUUCCAGGUGUAGCGGUGAAAUGCGUAGAUAUCUGGAGGAACACCGGUGGCGAAGGCGGCAUCCUGGACCGAUACUGACGCUGAGGAGCGAAAGCCAGGGGAGCAAACGGG